UGCAACAUGGUCAAACGGCAAAAAUCUAUGUGAUGCUGAUUUUCCUCCUAUAUUUAUGAAUUCCAGUGGGCCAGAAUUCUCUGAAAAUCGAAAUCUUCUUUGUUUGACUGAAAAAGAGCUUUGAAAGCUUGUUCUUGUAUAAAGCGUAUCAAAAUUCUCUUGAUAAACUAUUCUGUUAUGGUGAACAUUUGCAAGGCCCAGAACAUUUGCGUUCUUGAUAAACUAUUCUGUUAUGGUGAAUGCGUUCUUGUACGUUAACCUGAAGACAGACUUGUUUAAGAGCGUGGAAACAAAUGUGCUGACGUCUAUCUCUAGCCCACAGUCUACAAAAUGAGGCCUUUUCUAACUGGAUCACUUUAUGAAACCAAUCACGGUCCUUCACUAUUGCACUAGCUAAUCAAUUGUUUUCUGAAGUUGGUUUAGCCGUUUAGAUUUCUUGCUUUACCGCAUCCAGGACUUUCGUUAUAUAGAAAUUGCAUUGAGUUGGAAUUGAACCUUGCAUCUAGUGGAGACAAGACUAGUCUCGGAAAUGCCCGAAAAUUGUUUGAAACUGCACUUACAACCUAUGAUCAGGAUGUCGGAUUGUGGCAAGACUAUUAUAAUAUGGAAGUCAAGAUGGGAACAUCAGAAACUGCAGCAGCCGUUCACUGGCGAGCACUGAAAACCCUCAAGAAGAAUCUUUCCCUUCUACCCUCACAAUGAAGGCCCUCACUGGAUAUGUGAUCUAUCUCGGAAUGUGAGAAUAUAAUCAAAUUUUUACUUGGGAAUACUAGCAGGUCAUAUAACCAAAGUUCUCUCCGGAGGGCUGGCUUAUGUGAUUUCUUAUGCGGUACACCAUCUCGUAUAUCAUUGAGCUGCCAAUCCCGAUUAGCCCAUCUUGAUCUACAUAACAACUUGCAGUAUUGGUUCUCUUUUGAUGACAUACUUUAGGAUCUUAUGUGAUCCGAGUCAGUCAAGGAGGCUAGCUAUAUUCUUAAGCAAGACGUUGCCAGCAACUGUGAUAUAAAUCUUUGAAGGAGAGCUCUAAUGUCAAACUACUUUGGGCGACAAAAUUUUGUAGACUAGCACAUUUAGCUUUGUGUGUCAAACAGACAUUCUACCAUUUUUAUCAAGAAAGCCUUGUAAAAGCCUUUUAACAGGAAUUGAAGAUAUCUUGCUUAAUUUUGUUGGUACCUUCCUUAAGGUCAGGUCUGAAAUUUUUGUUUAAUUGCAAUACCCUAGAAUUCCAGCUUUUCUGAUUGCAGAAGAAAGCAUGGAGGCGAAGUAGACGUUUGGACAAAUUUUAGUUGAAGUUGAAAACAAUUAGUAUCUGAAUUUUGAAGUUGAAAAGAGUAGAAGUUCAGUUAUGUUUGGACAUGAUCUUUACUGGAAAAAGUGUGGAAGUUGAAAAAUUCCGAGUGACACCCGUUAUUUCAUUUCAUAUGCUCUUCAAAGUAGUGUUGUAAUUUACCAAUAUUACCCUUACCCUUAUAUAGAAAUGACAAUUAAUGGGUACGAACACCGCAAUCUAAAAUUGUGCAAAUAGAAAUGGGCCUCUCAUUUAGAUUAUUGAUUCUUUAGUCCUUCUCCCCUGAACACGUGUACGGCAUGGGAAAACACGUGUACUUUGAAAUCGCUCUUCUUUCUUUUUCGUUCUCAAACUCUCUGUUCCUUAGAGUUUGGUUUGUGCAAUUUCCUUUUCUCUUCAGGAGCUUCAAUCUACAGUUUCAACUCUACCAAGAUGAAAAAUAGUGAACAUUGGAUUUUCCUUCAUCUGACGACAUGAGAAAAGUGAGUGGACGGGCGAUAGAGAAAGAUAGGAGUUUCGAGUUUCGGUUCACAUGAAAAGGUCUGCCUAUAUGCUUUUGCUUAUUUCGACUAAGUGAGAUCAGUUACAUUUCAUGUGGGAAAAAAUAAUAAAUGGAGGAGCAAUCAAAAACAAGAAAAGGUAAAUGGAGAAGGUACAGACGCUCGUAUAAGAGAUCCGGCGGUCUAGGUUACCUGUUCUGCUAUUCUGGAGUGUUCCCUUGUCCCGGAGCCCAUCUUUUGGUACAUACCUUUCUGCCAUGUACAUGUAUGUGUAUGUUCAGGGGUACGGCGGGGCCCUGUCCCGUCAUAUGAUUAUGUUAUGUCUGUUAGAGGCCUGUAGACAUAUAUGUGGGUCGUGGGUCACUGAUGUUUGAUUACGUUUGUGGUUUACUAUGACAGCCUCAACGGCUUGUAUGUAUUUAUGCUUUGGUCUGAUAUGUAUGAUAUACGCGACCGUCUCAGAAAGAAAGAAAAAAUGGUGUCAA